rnacentral:lncRNA from 10 species
UCUCGGGUGAGAUCACCACGGAGCGGCUUAGCGCGGCGCACAAGUCUCGCGAGAGAAGCGGCGGCUGGGCCCUGCAGGCGGAGGAAGUGGAAAAAGUCGCGGGAGGGUAGGGGACCGCGGAACUUCUGGUUGCUAUGACGACGGCAAAGCCCUGGAUUCCUGUCUCCUGCGGAGAGCAGAGGCUGCAAACACUAGUCUCACUCUGUUGCCCAGGCUGGAGUGCAGUGGCGCGAUCUCAGCUUACUUCAGCCUCCGCCUCCCGGUUUCAAGUGAAUUCUCCAGCCUCAACUUCACAAGUAGCUGGGAUUACAGGGCAUUCAAGCAGCCCUGAGGAGAGGUCCACAUGGUGAGCCACUGAGGGCCUUGCCAAGAGCCAGCACCAACGGUCCAGGUUUGGAGUGUACCACCUUGGAAGUGAAUCUUCCAGUCCAGUCAAGCCUUCAGAUGACUUCAGAACCGUCCAUGUAAGCCACUCUUGGAUUCCUGACCCACAGAAACUGUUGGAGGCAUUAUCAACAGUUUCUAACAUCACAGACAGACAAACAUGUGCCUCCUGAUUGAAAAAACAGAACAUCACCUGUAGUCUUGCCAGUGAGAUCAAACUGAAGUCCAAUUAACCUCUGGAUCCAGCUGCCAAUUUGCAGGAAAUAGAGGAGAGAAGCAUCUGUUGAACUGCACCAUGAGUAUACACUCAGCAAAGGCCAAACUGUGGAAAAUGAUACAGGUCAAACAGCCUGGAUUCUUUAACAGUGAUGUUUCUGAAGCACCAAUGAAAAUGAAGUCCUGAAGUCCUGUGCUCAAUAUGAAAUGUUGGAAGUUAGAAGAAAAAAACAAAACUUGGAUCCAAUCUCAAGGCACUUUUUGUUUAAUGGGAAGAAGUGGAUUAUUUUAAAAGCUACAAAUAAAGUUACAUAAAAGUAGCAAA